UACGUAGGGGGCAAGCGUUGUCCGGAAUCAUUGGGCGUAAAGCGCGUGUAGGCGGCUUGGUAAGUCCGAUCUGAAAGCCCGGGGCUCAACCCCGGGAGGCGGGUGGAUACUGUCAAGCUCGAGUCCGGAAGAGGCGAGUGGAACUGCGAGUGUAGAGGUGAAAUUCGUAGAUAUUUGCAAGAACACCAGUGGCGAAGGCGGCUCACUGGCCCGGUACUGACGCUGAGGUGCGAAAGCGUGGGGAGCAAACAGG
rnacentral:rRNA from 1 species